UAGGGAAUCUUCCGCAAUGGACGCAAGUCUGACGGAGCAACGCCGCGUGAGUGAAGAAGGAUUUCGGUUCGUAAAACUCUGUUGUUAGAGAAGAACAGCGCAUAGAGUAACUGUUAUGCGUGUGACGGUAUCUAACCAGAAAGCCACGGCUAACUACGUGCCAGCAGCCGCGGUAAUACGUAGGUGGCAAGCGUUGUCCGGAUUUAUUGGGCGUAAAGCGAGCGCAGGCGGUCAAUUAAGUCUGAUGUGAAAGCCCCCGGCUCAACCGGGGAGGGUCAUUGGAAACUGGUUGACUUGAGUGCAGAAGAGGAGAGUGGAAUUCCAUGUGUAGCGGUGAAAUGCGUAGAUAUAUGUAGGAACACCAGUGGCGAAGGCGACUCUCUGGUCUGUAACUGACGCUGAGGCUCGAAAGCGUGGGUAGCAAACAGG
rnacentral:rRNA from 1 species